rnacentral:misc_RNA from 1 species
GAAAUGCGAUAAGUAAUGUGAAUUGCAGAAUUCAGUGAAUCAUCGAAUCUUUGAACCCAUAUUGCGCCCCUUGGUAUUCCGAGGGGCAUGCCUGUUCGAGCGUUAUUAUAACUCCUCAAGCCCAGCUUGGUGUUGGGGUCUGCCGCACGGAUAGGCCUUAAAAUAAGUGGCGGUGCUAUCUGACUCUAAGCCUAGUAAUUCUUCUCGCUAUAGAGUCCCGGUGGAUGCUUGCCAUUAACCUCCAUUUUCUAUGGUUGACCUCGGAUCAGGUAGGGAUACCCGCUGAACUUAA